rnacentral:rRNA from 1 species
AAUCGAACCCGGAGAUAGCUGGUUCUCCUCGAAAUAGCUUUAGGGCUAGCCUCAUACAAGUCUUGCGGAGGUAGAGCACUGAAUUUCCUAGGGGGCGUCAAAGCUUACCGAAGAAUAUCAAACUCCGAAUGCCGUGUAGAUGUUGUAUGGGAGUCAGACUGUACGAGAUAAGUUGGACAGUCAAAAGGGAAAGAGCCCAGACCUGCAGCUAAGGCCCCAAAAUGUGUGUUAAGUGGAAAAGGAUGUGGGAUUUCGAAGACAACUAGGAUGUUGGCUCAGAAGCAGCCAUACAUUCAAAGAGUGCGUAACAGCUCACUGGUCGAGAGGUCCUGCGCCGAAAAUGUCCGGGGCUGAAACACCACACCGAAGCCGCGGAACCCGUAAGGGUUGGUAGAGGAGCAUUCUUAGGGGAGCGAAGCAUUACCGGAAGGGGAUGUGGACCGCUAAGAAGAGAGAAUGCCGGAAUGAGUAGCGAGAGCAAGGUGGGAAUCCUUGCGGCCGAAUAUCCAAGGUUUCCAGAGUAAAGCUGAUCUGCUCUGGGUAAGUCGGGGCCUAAGGAGAGGCAGAGAUGCGUAUCCGAUGGACAGCAGGUUUAAGAUUCCUGCACCCCUUGUUAUCAGAACUGCGGGGACACGGGAAGGGAAGCAGAGCCGGGAAUGGAAAGCCCGGUGCAAGCGAAGUAGUCGCAGGGUUGGAAAAUCCGCCCUGCAUAAGACGAAGGCGUGAUGCGGAGCGAAAUGAAGUAGUGAAGCUGCGGCCCCUUCCUGUCGAGAAAAGCCGCUAUCGUGUAGCAAGGGCCCGUACCGUAAACCGACACAGGUGGAUGAGGAGAGGAUCCUAAGGCCGGCGGGAGAAGUGUUGUUAAGGAACUCGGCAAAAUGACUCCGUAACUUCGGGAGAAGGAGUGCUGCGCAAGCAGCCGCAGAGAAAUGGCCCAAGCAACUGUUUAGCAAAAACACAGGUCUAUGCGAAACCGAAAGGUGAGGUAUAUGGGCUGACGCCUGCCCGGUGCUGGAAGGUUAAGGGGAGAGGUUAGCGCAAGCGAAGCUUUGAACUUAAGCCCCAGUAAACGGCGGCCGUAACUAUAACGGUCCUAAGGUAGCGAAAUUCCUUGUCGGGUAAGUUCCGACCCGCACGAAAGGCGUAAUGAUUUGGGCACUGUCUCAACAAUGCACCCGGUGAAAUUGAAAUACCAGUGAAGAUGCUGGUUACCUGCGCCAGGACGGAAAGACCCCAUGGAGCUUUACUCCAGCUUGAUACUGGGAUUCGGUAUUGCAUGUACAGGAUAGGUGGGAGGCUAGGAAAUGGUAACGCCAGUUGCCAUGGAGCCGCUGUUGGGAUACCACCCUUGCAGUACUGGGUUUCUAACCAGCAGCCGUGAUCCGGCUGGGGGACAAUGUCAGGUGGGGAGUUUGACUGGGGCGGUCGCCUCCGAAAGGGUAUCGGAGGCGCUCAAAGGUUCCCUCAGAAUGGUUGGAAACCAUUCGAAGAGUGCAAAGGCAGAAGGGAGCUUGACUGCGACACCGACGGGUGGAGCAGGUACGAAAGUAGGACUUAGUGAUCCGGUGGUAUGAAAGUGGGAUUGCCAUCGCUCAACGGAUAAAAGCUACCCUGGGGAUAACAGGCUUAUCACUCCCAAGAGUUCACAUCGACGGAGUGGUUUGGCACCUCGAUGUCGGCUCAUCGCAUCCUGGAGCUGUAGCAGGUUCCAAGGGUUGGGCUGUUCGCCCAUUAAAGCGGUACGCGAGCUGGGUUCAGAACGUCGUGAGACAGUUCGGUCCCUAUCCGGCGUGGGCGUAGGAUAUUUGAGAGGAGCUG